AUAUCUCUCCGUACGGGAAGGAUGAGAAGCUUCGACUAAGGUUCGAUUCGAGCGCAGCGAGAACGCGU
rnacentral:sRNA from 6 species